UUUUCUUUAAAUUAUGGCAUAUCAAACCUUCUUAGAGAAGCACAAUGGGCAUACCUUGCUGAGGACCCAGUCUGCAGAAUCAAAGUAGGCUCUUUCAUGGUCCUGCAACCAGCAAAAGAGAAUGAUGGACAUAAAUUUUCUGACCCAACAUGUUUAUGCGUAAAAGCCUCUUCAACAAAUAGAGGUUUGCUGAUUUUGAAGAUCAGUCUCUUCAGCAAACAAAUUUUCUGCUUCAAUGACAUCCAACCUCAUAAGAGAUGGCCUGAUAGCUGAUAAAGUUAUGUCAUUGCAGUUGCUUUGUUUGCAUCAGUGAGAAUUUUCGAGUUGUAUGGUUAUUAUAUUGCACCAUCAUGAAUGUGGGACAUUUCAACUGGAUAGGUAAGCUAGAAGGUAUGAAUAAAUGGUGAUAUACUGAUUAAAAUUCAUCAUGUGAUCACAAAGGAAGUUGAUAUUGGGUUUGAACUUUUAAUGGCCAGGUGUCGAAGAUUGCAGAACCCUGCAGUGGUGGAACCUUAGUGGCUAAUUGUACUCAGAAGUUGGCUUGCUUACUUUACCAAGGACCCAUGUCCUUGCGUCUGUCCUCAGCUGAUACUCCAGAGACUUUGACAAAGGCACAGCUUUUGUACCCAAAAAUGAAGAUGCCACAAUGAACAAGCAAAGGCCUCUUAUUCCAUGGUCUCAACAUGGCUGAGCCAUACAUGUCAAUCAGCAGGGUGUCUGACAUCUCAAAUAGUUGGUGUAUUAAGCGUACUUGGAAUUUUUAUUCUCUGUAGGUUGAGAAUUAGACUUGAAUGUGCGAGACUUUAUAAUCCAGUUUUAGCACAACACCCAUGCUCUUCUGCAUUACCAAGUGGCUGACAUGUUAAGCAUUCUUAAAAUUGUUCGUACUCUGUGUAGGUUGAGAGGGAAUAUGAGUUGAAUUGCAUGAAGCUUGAUAGUCCAAUGUCAACACAACGUCCGAACAGAUGUGGUUCGAGAGCCAACUAUAGCGUCGAAACCAGCAUGACAUUUUUGCACCGAGACAUGGGUCAUUAUGGGUUUUCAAGGGUCGUCAUUGAAGAGAGAAGGCGUUGACUCCCACCGCUUCGU